rnacentral:rRNA from 1 species
UGGGGAAUUUUGGACAAUGGGCGAAAGCCUGAUCCAGCAAUGCCGCGUGUGUGAAGAAGGCCUUCGGGUUGUAAAGCACUUUUGUCCGGAAAGAAAUCCUUGGCUCUAAUACAGUCGGGGGAUGACGGUACCGGAAGAAUAAGCACCGGCUAACUACGUGCCAGCAGCCGCGGUAAUACGUAGGGUGCAAGCGUUAAUCGGAAUUACUGGGCGUAAAGCGUGCGCAGGCGGUUUGCUAAGACCGAUGUGAAAUCCCCGGGCUCAACCUGGGAACUGCAUUGGUGACUGGCAGGCUAGAGUAUGGCAGAGGGGGGUAGAAUUCCACGUGUAGCAGUGAAAUGCGUAGAGAUGUGGAGGAAUACCGAUGGCGAAGGCAGCCCCCCUGGGCCAAUACUGACGCUCAUGCACGAAAGCGUGGGGAGCAAACAGGAUUAGAUACCCUGGUAGUCCACGCCCUAAACGAUGUCAACUAGUUGUUGGGGAUUCAUUUCCUUAGUAACGUAGCUAACGCGUGAAGUUGACCGCCUGGGGGAGUACGGUCGCAAGAUUAAAACUUAAAGGAAUUGACGGGGUCAUAGCUGUUUCCU